GAGCGUGCAGCCUCCCUGGCCUCGGGGCUGGAGAGAGUUAGGGAGGAGACCGAGGACGAGAGGAAACAGUUGGAGGAUGAGUUGGAGGAGGCUCUAGUGGAGUUGUCAGUUCUGGAGUUGCAGGAAGAGAGGAGGGAGGAAGAGGAGAGAGGAGGCCUUACAGAGUUUCCAGCAGGAGAAGACUGAGAUGGAGAGGGAACUGACUGAGAACAGAGCACUGCUAGACAGGAGAAGCAGUGCCGUGGAGGCGUUGGAGAAGGUGCACGGUGCUGAAACGAGGAGGCUGAAGGAGGAACACACCACCUCCCUCAGCAAGAUAGGACACAUGGCCACUGAACUGGAGAGCACCAGACAGGCCCUGAAGGGAGCAGAGGAUAGGAGUAGAGCCCUGGAGGAUGAGGUAGAGAGGGUGACUAAGCAGAUGAAGAGAGUGAAUCAACAGGAGGAGGAGGUGAAAAAGCUGAGGGAGGAGAUGGAGGAGGAACAGGAGAAACAUCUAGCUAACCAGCAGGGUCAGGAGAAAGCCAGAAAGGAGUAUGAAAGGUCGGCUCAUCAUAAGGCUUCUCAAUAUCUGGUGAUUGAAUGUGCAUGUUGAUGGGAUUUUGACUGACUCUCUCUCCCCCCUC
rnacentral:lncRNA from 1 species